rnacentral:rRNA from 1 species
ACUCCUACGGGAGGCAGCAGUGGGGAAUAUUGGACAAUGGGGGAACCUAGCAUCCAGCCAUGCCGCGCUGUGUAGAAGAAGGCCUUCGGGUUGUAAAGCACUUUCAGUGGGGAGGAAAGGUUGAUGGUUAAUACCUAUCAGCUGUGACGUUACCCACAGAAGAAGCACCGGCUAACUCCGUGCCAGCAGCCGCGGUAAUACGGAGGGUGCGAGC